rnacentral:rRNA from 1 species
ACCGUAGAGUUUGAUCCUGGCUCAGGAUGAACGCUGGCGGUAUGCUUAACACAUGCAAGUCGAACGAGUCCUUUCGGGGGCAAGUGGCGGACGGGUGAGUAACGCGUGAGAAUCUGGCUCUAGGUUCGGGACAACCACUGGAAACGGUGGCUAAUACCGGAUGUGCCGAGAGGUGAAAGGUUAACUGCCUGGAGAUGAGCUCGCGUCUGAUUAGCUAGUUGGUGGUGUAAGGGACUACCAAGGCGACGAUCAGUAGCUGGUCUGAGAGGAUGAUCAGCCACACUGGAACUGAGACACGGUCCAGACUCCUACGGGAGGCAGCAGUGGGGAAUUUUCCGCAAUGGGCGAAAGCCUGACGGAGCAAUACCGCGUGAGGGAGGAAGGCUCUUGGGUUGUAAACCUCUUUUCUCAGGGAAUAAGCAAGUGAAGGUACCUGAGGAAUCAGCAUCGGCUAACUCCGUGCCAGCAGCCGCGGUAAUACGGAGGAUGCAAGCGUUAUCCGGAAUGAUUGGGCGUAAAGCGUCCGUAGGUAGCAGUGUGUGUCUAUUGUUAAAGAGUUUGGCUUAACCAAAUAAAGGCGGUAGAAACUACACAGCUAGAGUGCGUUCGGGGCAGAGGGAAUUCCUGGUGUAGCGGUGAAAUGCGUAGAGAUCAGGAAGAACCCCGGUGGCGAAAGCGCUCUGCUAGGCCGCAACUGACACUGAGGGACGAAAGCUAGGGGAGCGAAUGGGAUUAGAUACCCCAGUAGUCCUAGCCGUAAACGAUGGAUACUAGGCGUUGAGAGUAUCGACCCUCUCAGUGCCGUAGCUAACGCGUAAGUUCCCGCCUGGGAGACCCCCU